rnacentral:lncRNA from 1 species
ACUUCUAAUAAAACAAAACCAACUUAUGCCACAUGGCAUUUGCUUAGGCCACUUAAUGCCACGUGGCAUCCUAAUACUCCCUAAUGAAAAAAAUUGAGCGCUAAAACUAGAAGUGUCCUCCGCUCUUUUUCUUAGCCAGCUACACAAUCAAUUGCAUUGAUUUGGAGUUUCCUUUUUGAUUCUCCCAUUAUUGAAAGUUGUUACAAUCACGAACCCUAAAUCCAGAAUUAACACACACCUUUCUUUUCAUCCUUUGCCUCCUUACAGUUUUCUCUCUUUGAAAAACCCUAGAUCUCAUCUCUUUACAAUCAAAAGUAACCUGGGCUCGAUAGAUGAUUCUUUUUUCUUCAUUCGAUCAAAACAGGAGAUUUUCGGUAAGUUUACAUCAUCCUCUUUGAUUAAUUUUGAUUUCGAUUGGUUGAAAUUACAGAAAACUUCAAACGGAGCUCGCCGGAGAGUUGGCCGGAGGAGUGACGGUGGUGGUCGGAGUAAAGCUAGAUGAGCAUAGCAGGGUGAGGAACUUGAAAGCAUUGCAGACUUUGGUUCCAAAUUCUAACAAGAUUGAUAAGGCUUCAAUGUUGGAUGAAACUAUUGAGUAUCUGAAGCAGCUUCAACUGAAAGUACAGUGUAUGCAGCUCCAGGCUCAAAAUCGUUUCAACUACUUGAAAUGAUACACCAAGCACCGAAAGUGGGAUCUUUACCAAGUGGAAUGGUUAUGUUUUUCUCUCUGAUGAUUGAUCUUUAGUACAUUUAGUUUAUGUAAUACGUAAUAAUUCUGUUUUGUAGGUUGUAACAAACGAUAUUGACUUUAAUUGGCUUACUUACCAACCAGUACUACCAUUGGACCAGUAGGUGGUUUUCACUACUUGAUUGAUGGCACCUUCUCUCAAAUCCUAAUUCCUUCUAUUCGCUCCUGAUGAGCAAUCACACCAACAAACUCAGCAGGUACUUGAAAAUGGAUGAUUUGUUCAUGAAUCCAUUCUGUGAUGUGUUUGCUUAUACCAGUUGUUCGGGAGAUGGCACAACGAACAACACGAAUGAAACUACACCAACACCGAAUACAAAGAAGAUUCUGUCUGAUGCAAUGAGCGUAGAAAGUGCUUAUGGUACCUAUAACAAGCCUCCUAAACUGAUGGCGAUCGAAGAUUAUAAUCGGUGGGCUACGAGAUUUGAGGAGUGGCUUAAAGCAUUCGCAUUUCCAAGCUGGAAAAGUUUAAAG